rnacentral:rRNA from 1 species
GAUGAACGCUGGCGGCGUGCCUAAUACAUGCAAGUCGAGCGAACGGACGCGAAGCUUGCUUUUCUGAUGUUAGCGGCGGACGUGUGUGUCACACGUGUAUAACCUCCCUAUCAUACUGGGAUAACUUCGGGAAACCGGCGCUUAUACCGUAUAAUAUUUUGAUCCGUAUGGUUCAAAAGUGAAAGACGGUCUUGCUGUCACUUCUCGAUGUAUCCGCGCUGCAUUAGCUAGUUGGUAAGGUAACGGCUUACCAAGGCAACGAUGCAUAGCCGAGCUGAGAGGGGGAUGGGCCAAACUGGAACGGAGACGCGGUACAGAGUCCUACGGGAGGCAGCAGAAGGGAAUGUUCAGCAAUGGGCGAAAGCCUGACGGAGCAACGCAGCGUGAGUGAUGAAGGUCUUCGGAGCGUAAAACUGUGUUAUGAGGGAAGAACAUAUGUGUAAGGAACUGUGCACAGCUUGACGGUAACUAAUCAGAAAGCCACGGCUAACUACGUG